rnacentral:rRNA from 1 species
ACUCAAAGGAAUUGACGGGGAUCCGCACAAGCGGUGGAGCAUGUGGUUUAAUUCGAUGCUACACGAAGAACCUUACCAGGGAUAAGAUGCACGCAUUAAGCUUUUUGAAAAAAUUGUUGCUUUUGCAUGUGUGCUAUAGGUGGUGCAUGGCUGUCGUCAGCUCGUGUCGUGAGAUGUUGGGUUAAUUCCCGCAACGUAGCGUAACCCUCGUUUUUAGUUUCGAAAUCUAAAAAAGUCUAGCUACCGCUAGAGGAAGAAGAGGACGACGUCAAGUCAUCAUGCCCCAAAUGCCCUGGGCUACACACGUGCUACAUUGAAAAUGACAAUAAGUUGCAGGUUUGUAAAAGCAGGCUAAUCUUUAAACAUUUUCCCAGUUCGGAUUGCAGGCUGCAACUCGCCUGCAUUAAGAUGGAAUCGCUAGUAAUCGCAGGUCAGCUAUACUGCGGUGAAUUCGUUAACGGAUCUUGCACACACCGCCCGU